GCUGUAAUAAAUCAAUAAUCGGGUAACUACACUGUUCUAAGUACGUGGUUUAGAGGGGAAUCCUAUCGUCUUUGCACAUUCGGAUAAAAGGCAGGCCAAUUCAGUUCAUGCACAAGUUGUAAGCUACAAAUCUAUGAAGAUGUACAAGAAAGUGUUCGUUUUAGCUGUAGUUUUGUCCGUAGUAUUUGCAAUGGGGUCAGCCGCAUCCUUUCAAGGAGAAUCUAUGGGUCAGAUCGUUCGUGAGAAACGAAGCACUCCUCUAUGCAAGGUAUCCUGCGAAGAAGAUUGCCGUUUGAAAGGGAAAACGGGAGGCGAUUGCAUUAACGGAUUUUGCGUAUGUCCGGAUUAAAAAUAAUCUAAAAAUGCUUGCUUUCAAGUGUUACAAAUAAAAAAGCGAGUAAAAAAGCUUCAUUAUAUAAAUGUUUUGUUUUUAUGUAGAUUGCGGUCAAUAGGUUAUAAUGACGGUCAUACGGAUACCGUACUCCAGCCAAAUAAAUGUAUUCCUUUACAAGUAA